AAGCCAAAAGUCACAUACAGAAAGCAAUCAGAAAGUCUAACGGAAUGUUGACAUUUACAUUAAGGAUGGGGAGGUCAAUCACAAAGGGGAGAAAUUGCUGCUCAGUUGUGGCACUUUGAUCAGAUGCAGUCCAAAGUUACGUAUUGGUUUUGGAUACCACAUAUCAGGAAGGGUAUGUAGGAUUUGGAAAAGAUGUAACGAAAAUUAAAUAGAAUGAUACAGAGCUUAAAGGGCUACAUUAUGAAAACAAAUUGUUUAACUUUAGUUUUUAUUCCCUUGAGUAUUGAAGGUUGAGGGAUGAUCCACUAAAGGGUAGACUUGGAGACCCAUUUCUGGGGAGAUGAAAUCAAAAUCAAGGAAACAUAAUCUGAAAAUUUGGUUUAGAUCAAAAGCAAUAUCAGGAAGCACUUCUUUCAAACAAAGGUUAAUAGAAAUUUGGAACUAGCCUUCCCUGUCAUUACAUAGAUAGAGACAAUUGGAGCUUUCAAGACUGGAAUGGAUAGAUUUUUGUUGGCAUCAAGGAAUUCUGAAGCAAAGUCAGGUAAAUGGAGUUGAGACGCAGGUCAAUCAUGAUCUGAUUGAAUGGCAGAGCACACCUAAGGGGCUAAAUGGACUAUUCUUAUGCUUAAUGUCCCUGUUAAUUGGAAAGAGCUGUUGGAGAUGUGCAAGUGACAGGUAACUGUCCAGUGUGAAUGUUAUAUAUUCAAUGUUAUUUAUUUUCUCAGGAGUGUAAUUCAAGCAAGUGGCAGUAUUGGGAGGAACUUGUCAAACUUCUCUGUUUACUGCUUCUGAGUUACCAAGAGGUGACUAAACGUUACUUAAGGUUUUCAAUCACAGAGCGGUUAAAGUAUGUUCUAGCUGACAGUCCUCCUGUGCUCACCACACAUGAUAAAAUCACUGUUGAAGAAGUUCAGUCGGAUAUGGAGAUAUUCUACAGUCGAGCACUCAAUGAUUUGGGAACCCCAUUGAAUCCACAACUAGAAGAACAGAUCAAUUUACUGAAAGCUCUGCUCCUUUGUGCAGCAACCAGAACAUAGCUGUUUUAAUUUAUUUUAAACAGAUCAUUUUGUAUAUAAUGACCUAAGACUUUCAUCCAAUGAGCAUCUUUGCACAAAGCACAUUAUCUGAAACUUGAAGAGCAUUUCAAGCACUAUUUCUGUGACAAAUGUGCAAAGUGUGGUAUUAGGAUUUCUGCCAUUGUAAGGCAGCCAUACAAACCUAAUGGUAAACAGCAAAAACUCUUAUUGUGAUUUUAUUAUUUUAUAUUGAAUUAUCCUACACAGAGGAGCGUUUCCAUUGAAUGUAUUUCGUUUUGCCUUGGUGCUUUUCUGCAGAAUACAGAAAUUAAGCCAUCAGAUGAAUUGUCAAUUAUCUUUGGGCUUCAGAAAAGUAUUUGAAGUAAAACUCUGGACAGUUGAGUUUGGAAUGCGCCCAUUAUGGGCUACAGCUAUAUUUCUUGGAAUAGAAUUUGGAUGGCCCUUUAUCUUCAUUCAAUCGGUGCAUGUAAAUUGAGUUUAUCUGAGUUUAUAACAGUGGAAAUUCACAGCACAUGCACCUUCUAUUGCUUUGGAAUCCAGGGUUUCUGAAUGCAAUGUUAGUCAAUUCCUGUAUAUUGGGAAAGUUUCUUUAUAAGUAUUUUAUUUAAAGUUUAAUGUAAUCAAAUUUCUCUAAUGGGAGUGAGUGAGUGACCCAGAAUUUUAAGCUUUCAAAAUGUUCCUCCUAUCCAGUGAAUUUAAAUAUGGUUUUAUUGUUUUCUCUGAUGUUGCUUUAUAAAAUUGAUUUUCAUGAUGUAUCAUUUCUGCAAGUUUACUGUACAGUAAUGGAACUUUCAAUGCCUCUUAUUAUCCAGUGGCAUUUUCUGUAGACAAGACCUUGAAUGGAAUAUCAUCUCACUGUAUCACCUCUUUUGCUAUUUCAUCUUUUCAUAAUGAAUGAAGCUUCAUGA